rnacentral:tRNA from 1 species
ACGGGGAUCGCCCAGCCUGGUCAACGGCGCUAGGUUUAGGUCCUAGUUUUUUAGAAAUUCGUGGGUUCGAAUCCCACUCCCCGUA